GUCAAAACUGUUAAGGUCCUGUAUACUGAGCAUUUUAUUCCAUUCAAGCAAAGCUAGCUUAAAAAGGAAUCAUUUAGCUGUAUUUAAUAAUAAAGCUCAGAAAAACUCAUACAGUGUUAAAAUAAGCCACCAUUGGAGGAAGGUACCUAAUGAGGAGAGUAGAUGCCAACUCCUCUUCUUGGCUUAACAUUUUAGAAAUGAUAAAUUCCGUAUAGAACAUUUUAAGAUAUCGGCAGGAGUGCUUUCUACAGGGGAAAUCAUUUUAUACUUCAGAAUUAGGACAGAUAUGUGAGAAUUCCCAUCAGCCAGUGUGGAUUUCUUUCUUCAAGCUCUUCCAAUACAACCAGCUAUAUAAGUUUCUCAAAUAACCCUUCUUGUGCCAUGUUCUGUGGCUUGCAUCAGAAGAGGAAUUUGUCUUCAUGAAGAUUCCUAACAUUGGUAAUGUGAUGAAUAAAUUUGAGAUCCUUGGGGUUGUAGGUGAAGGAGCCUAUGGGGUUGUACUAAAAUGCAGGCACAAG
rnacentral:lncRNA from 1 species